AGCGGGAUAGCUCAGCUGGCCAGAGCGUACGACUCAUAAUCGUAAGGUCGAGAGUUCGAGUCUCUCUCUCGCUACAA
rnacentral:tRNA from 1 species